GCAGAUUUUUUUUUCUAGAAUUCAUCUGGUUAAUUAUAAAAUUUAUAUUUUGUUCAUCUUUCUCUGUGGUUGAACUUGGAACCUAAUUGGAAGAUGAUUUCCUUGAGAAGCUCUGAAUUUGCUUUGCCAGGAAUUCAGGUGUGUUCCUAAUACCUUUCCUGCGGUCCCUACUUUGCCUUGAGGCCAUGGCUCGGUGCAUUUACCCUCUGAGCAACCAUGCCUGUUAUGGUCAGCCUCAUUUUUUCUUCUCAUUUGGUAUUCUUGGAGAUUUUUCUUAUGUUCUAUGAGGCCAACGGCGCAACAAGCAUUACAUUUUGUGCUGGGUUAAUUUACUUUGUUGCAAUAGAAGAAUCUUCUGUUUAGCUUACCAAGAGGAUAGAGUGGAGAUCACCUGAUUAUUUUAUAAGUAUGUUUGUUAUUAAUUUUGUAGAUUUCCCAGUCUCAUUUCCUUUAGUGGAAAGAGAAAUAUCCUUUUCAGUCUCCUGUAAAAAUUUGGGUUUUGUUGUCUUGCAGCUUCUUGUGGUGUCUGUGUCAUUUCGUAAGUUGUCAGAAUUCAUUCUUCCGUAGCAGUGUUUAAGAAAGUGAGAAGAGAGGCAGAAGUCAUAAUAUUUACUUAAAUUUAUUACACACUAACUUAAAAGGAGAAGAGGUAAUGGCACAAUCCUUUCUAGCAUUUAAACAGAAUUCCGGGGGCACCUGGGUGGCUUAGUCGGUUGAGCAACCUACUCUUGAAUUCAGUUCAGGUCAUGAUCUCACAGUUCAUGGGAUCGAGCCCCAUGUCCGGCUCUUUGCUGACAGUGCGGAACCUGCUUGGGAGUCUCUCUCUCCCUUUGCCCCUCUUCCCUUCUCGUGCUGUCUCUCUCUCAAAAUAAAUAAAUAAACAUUAAAAAAACGAAGUUCCAGUUUUGGAGUCGUGCAGUAUAGCUACUUAUAUAGGAUUUUAAUUCACUAGGAGACUAGGCUGAAAGAAAGUGCUUUUAUGACAAAUGAAAAAUUACCAAAAUAUGUUUCCUGGAACAGGUGAUUAAAACGGAGACUUGUUUGAGCUUAAAAGGAUUGGGGGAUAUAUAAAACCACUAUAUAUUGAUUACAGAUUAGGUCACAUAGCAUUAAACUUUAGUGCUAUGUUGACUGACAUUUUGUCAGUGAAUAGCAUAUUUGAUGUCAUUUUAGCCUAGUUGAGUGUUUUGUUUUUUUUUUUUAAUUUUUUAAUGUUUAUUUGGGGGGUUGGGAGGGCAGAGAGAGAGGGAGACACAGAAUCGGAAGCAGGCUCCAGGCUCCGAGCUGUCAGCACACAGCCUAACGCAGGGCUUGAACUCACAAACCGCGAGAUCAUGACCUGAGCUGAAGUCGGACGUUAAACUGACUGACCACCCAGGCGCCCCCUAGUUGAGUGGAUUUAAUGAGCUCAAUGGAUGAUAAAUAAAAUUUACAGUGCUAAUUAUAAUUUCCCCUCCAAAAGAUAGUUUUCUGUUUAGAAAAGAAAUGCCUGUGCCAACUUACUAGAUUCUUUCAGAAACAGUUCAUUGAAGAUAUAAUUUUGAAUUUCAGUGAAGUGAUUUUUUAUGGAGAGCUAUUAAAACCCACAUGAAUCCAAGUAUUCUAAUUAAGUCCUUUUGGUCUGAGAUUUUAUUAAAUUACAGACAUAAUAGAUUAAUGUUUCUUUAAUAAGAACAUGUACAGAUAAUAAUAAUAGUAUCUCAUUUCUUGCUUGGUGUAGCUAAUUUGUCGAGCAGUUUUUAAAUUGCUGCAUACAAAUCCCAAAUGUUUUGAAAUGGAAUGUUGAGGAAAAAGGUUUGAAAUUACUUAGCCUUUGAUUUUUCUUUCCUUGUCAUUUCUGCUAAAUAGCAGUAGUAUGUUAGGCUUUCUACAGACUGUAGUUCCUUUAAAUUUUGCUCUGUGUUAGAUCAGCCUGGUUUUAUUUAUUUUGUCAAGUUUAUUUACUUAUUUUGAGAGAGAGUGCAUGCACAAGCAGGGGGAGGGAUAGAGAGAGAAUGAAGGAGAGAAUCCCAAGCAGGCUCCACGAUGUCAGCGCGUCAGCAUGGAGCCUGCUGCAGGCCUCAGUCUCACAAACUCUGAGAUCAUGACCUGAGCCCAAAUCAAGAGUCAAACGCUUAACUGACUGAGCCACCCGGGCGCCCCUAGACCAGCCUGGUUGUAGAUAAAAUGUGUAUAUUUUUUAACUGAGAUAUAAUUCAAAUACCAUGACAUGCCCUCUUUUAAAAUAUACAGUUGAGUGGUUUGUGGUGUAUUAGCCACAUACAAAGAUGUGCAGUCAUCAACACUGUCUAAUCUCAGAAUAUCUUCAUUACCCUAAAUGUGUAUUUUUAUUGUGUCUAUUACACUUUAGAUAACUGAGCAAGGGAGUAAUAUUUUACUUGCCUUACUUAUAUGUAUUCUAAUUAUUUAUAUUACUAAUAUUUAUACUUUUCAGAAAAAAGGAUCAAGUUUUGUAUCCUUUAAUUUUGAACAGAAUCUCCAGUCUGGCAUCAGAGUAUUCUUUGAUUUAUUUACUUCUCCACAAAUAAAUUGAGUUGCCUAUCCUGUGUGGUAAACAAGUUAUUAUGAUGUCGUGUGAGAACUUCCAUAAUAAAAAUACACACAGUAUUCAAUUCACAGGAUCCUUGAGACAAGGUGGGAGCAGCAGAAUAUGCAGGGAAGCUUUACAGAGGAGUUCAUGUUCAGAAGUAGGUGUUGGCAUCUUUGUUAGAAUUUGCUAGAAAGAGAAGGGCUUUGAGGUCAAAGUAAAUAAUAAAGGGCAGAGACCUAGUUAGCAUGUCUCACAGAUCUUUGUUAGUUGUGAUUUAGGACAAGAAUUUGGCAGUCCAGUAGUAUAGGUGAGUAUUCAGAAAACAGUGGAGGACAAGUGGGGUACUUAGGUAGUCAGCUUUUUUGUGUCGCACUCAAAAACUUGGGGAAACUACAUUUUUUGCCUACAUUUAAGAAAUCUCGAAGAGCGUUAAGAAAUCUUGAGAAGCUGGUAGCAGCGCCCCAAGCAUCUGACUCUUGAUUUCGGCUCAAGUUAUGGUCUCAUGGUUUGUGGGUUUGAGCCCUGUGUCGGGCCCUGGGGUGAGUGUGGAGCCCGCUUGGGAUUCUCUCUGCCCCCUCCCCUGCUCUCUCUCUCU